GUCCUUUUGAGUUUAAUUUAAGGUCUGAUCUGCCCACUGAAAUUUAUUUUAAAUGGCCGCAGUAAUUUGACUGUGCAAAGGUAGCAUAAUAAUUAGUUUUUUAAUUAAAAGCUUGUAUGAAAGGUUGGACGAGGUAAAAUCUGUCUCUAUUUAAAUUAAAUUAGAAUUUAACUUUUAAGUCAAAAGGCUUAAAUUUAUAUAAAAGACGAGAAGACCCUAUAGAUCUUUAUAAUUUAAAUUUUAUUAUUAAUUAUGUAUUUUUGAUAUUUUAUAGUUUAAAUUAUUUUAUUGGGGUAAUAGGGAGAUUAAAAUAAUUCUUUUUUAUUAUUUACAUUAAUUUAUGGUUAUUGUUGAUCCAAUUUUAUUGAUUAUAAGAUUAAGUUACCUUAGGGAUAACAGCGUAAUUUUUUUAGAGAGUUCAUAUCGAUAAAAAAGUUUGCGACCUCGAUGUUGGAUUAAAAAUUAUUUUAGGUGUAGAAGCUUGAAAAUUUGGUCUGUUCGACCAUUAAAUUUUUACAUGAUCUGAGUUCAGACCGGCGUAAGCCAGGUCGGUUUCUAUCUUUAUUUAACUAAAAUAUUUUAGUACGAAAGGACCGGGUAUUUAAUAUAUUAAUAUUUGUUUUAUGAAUUUUAUUAAA
rnacentral:rRNA from 1 species